rnacentral:rRNA from 1 species
UACGUAGGGUGCGAGCGUUAAUCGGAAUUACUGGGCGUAAAGCGUGCGCAGGCGGUUUGUUAAGUCAGACGUGAAAUCCCUCGGCUUAACCGGGGAACUGCGUCUGAUACUGGUUGGCUUGAAUCCGGGAGAGGGAUGUGGAAUUCCAGGUGUAGCGGUGAAAUGCGUAGAUAUCUGGAGGAACACCGGUGGCGAAGGCGGCAUCCUGGACCGGUAUUGACGCUGAGGAGCGAAAGCCAGGGGAGCAAACGGG